UGGGGGAUAUUGCGCAAUGGGGGCAACCCUGACGCAGCAACGCCGCGUGAAGGAUGAAGGUUUUCGGAUUGUAAACUUCUUUUAUUAAGGACGAAAAUUGACGGUACUUAAUGAAUAAGCUCCGGCUAACUACGUGCCAGCAGCCGCGGUAAUACGUAGGGAGCAAGCGUUGUCCGGAUUUACUGGGUGUAAAGGGUGCGUAGGCGGCUUUGCAAGUCAGAUGUGAAAUCUAUGGGCUCAACCCAUAAACUGCAUUUGAAACUGUAGAGCUUGAGUGAAGUAGAGGCAGGCGGAAUUCCCCGUGUAGCGGUGAAAUGCGUAGAGAUGGGGAGGAACACCAGUGGCGAAGGCGGCCUGCUGGGCUUUAACUGACGCUGAGGCACGAAAGCGUGGGUAGCAAACAGGAUUAGAUACCCUGGUAGUCCACGCUGUAAACGAUGAUUACUAGGUGUGGGGGGUCUGACCCCUUCCGUGCCGGAGUUAACACAAUAAGUAAUCCACCUGGGGAGUACGGCCGCAAGGUUGAAACUCAAAGGAAUUGACGGGGGCCCGCACAAGCAGUGGAGUAUGUGGUUUAAUUCGAAGCAACGCGAAGAACCUUACCAGGUCUUGACAUCCAACUAACGAAGUAGAGAUACAUUAGGUGCCCUUCGGGGAAAGUUGAGACAGGUGGUGCAUGGUUGUCGUCAGCUCGUGUCGUGAGAUGUUGGGUUAAGUCCCGCAACGAGCGCAACCCUUGCUAUUAGUUGCUACGCAAGAGCACUCUAAUAGGACUGCCGUUGACAAAACGGAGGAAGGUGGGGACGACGUCAAAUCAUCAUGCCCCUUAUGACCUGGGCUACACACGUACUACAAUGGAUGUUAACAGAGGGAAGCAAGACAGCGAUGUGGAGCAAACCCCUAAAAACAUUCUCAGUUCAGAUUGCAGGCUGCAACCCGCCUGCAUGAAGAUGGAAUUGCUAGUAAUCGCGGAUCAGCAUGCCGCGGUGAAUACGUUCCC
rnacentral:rRNA from 1 species